rnacentral:pre_miRNA from 1 species
AGAGGAAUAGCUGGGUCAAAUGGUGGUUCCAUUCCCAGAUUUCCAAGGAAUCUCCAUACUACUUUCCAAAUUGGCUGCACCAAUUUGCAGUCCCACCAGCAAU